rnacentral:lncRNA from 1 species
GUCCCACUUGCCACCCUUCCCUGCUGAGCGGAUAGGAACCGCUUAAGACCGGGAGAUAAAGGUUUGCAGUUCCCCCUGGGGACCAAACUAUAGAGAGAGAUAGUGAAUGAGAAAUCCAAAGACUUUGCACUGCUGGACUAAAUAACUUUUCUUUUUCAUUUCCUUCCUUUCUUUUCUUUUCUUUUCUUUCUCCCUUCCUUUUCUUUCUUUCCUUUUUCUUUCAGGGCGGACCGAGGCACCAGCUUCCAAAAUCACAACCCUUUCCUUCAAUAACUCUUUUAUAAGUCUCCCAGGCCUCCUCUGAGUCUUAGAAGACUGGCUCAAGAGCUGAUCUGCUCUGGGGCUUCUGAGAAGGCUUCCUGGAGGUAGAAGCAAUCAGACUAAAGUGAGUAUUUACAGCAUGUACUGUGUCAGAUAUUUUUUAAACAAUAAUAUCAAUCAGCGC